CUACCAACUCCAUUAAAUGAAUUGUCUUGCAUGGAUGUGUUUUAUUUGAGUUGGGGCUACAUAUAUUUAUUAGAUUGAAAACCUGCACAUAAUUGACUUGAGUUAAUCCAAUGAGCCAUUUUUUGAGUGUGGA